rfam:Agrilus planipennis Contig59861, whole genome shotgun sequence.
ACUCAUACUCAUACUUAGAUUGCAGUGUUAGCAUUUAUCCACCGGCUGAAGAGGACCCUAGUUGGUCCUAAAACGGCCUGAGGUAGAGGGGUUUUAGUCGGUAGGUCCGAGGACUUCUUCCUCGGGAAUCCGACACUACCCAGUCGUACGGACGGCUGGGUGUCUUCUGAAGAUUUCCCCUCUUCCACGAAA